GGAAUCUGCCCCGACGUGGGGGAUAACGUAGGGAAACUUACGCUAAUACCGCAUACGUCUUACGGGAGAAAGCGGGGGAUCGCAAGACCUCGCGCGGCGGGAUGAGCCGAUGCCGGAUUAGCUAGUUGGCGGGGUAAAGGCCCACCAAGGCGACGAUCCGUAGCUGGUCUGAGAGGAUGAUCAGCCACACUGGGACUGAGACACGGCCCAGACUCCUACGGGAGGCAGCAGUGGGGAAUAUUGGACAAUGGGGGCAACCCUGAUCCAGCAAUGCCGCGUGUGUGAAGAAGGCCUUCGGGUUGUAAAGCACUUUUAUCAGGAAAGAAAUCCGGUGGCUUAAUACGUUGCCGGGAUGACGGAACCUGAGGAAUAAGCACCGGCUAACUUCGUGCCAGCAGCCGCGGUAAUACGAAGGGUGCAAGCGUUAAUCGGAAUUACUGGGCGUAAAGGGUGCGUAGGCGGCCCGUUAAAGUUCGAUGUGAAAGCCCCCGGGCUCAACCUGGGAAUGGCAUCGAAAACUGGCAGGCUGGAGUGCGGUAAAAGGGGUGGGUGGAAUUCCCGG
rnacentral:rRNA from 1 species